GUAGUCGUGGCCGAGUGGUUAAAGAGCGAUCGGACUAGGGAAAUCCAUUGUGGGUCUCCCCGCGCAGGUUCGAAUCCUGCCCGACUACG